rnacentral:rRNA from 1 species
GACGAACGCUGGCGGCGUGCCUAAUACAUGCAAGUCGAGCGAAUGACGAGAAGCUUGCCUCUCUGAUUUAGCGGCGGACGGGUGAGUAACACGUGGGCAACCUGCCCUACAGAUCGGGAUAACUCAGGGAAACCUGGGCUAAUACCGGAUAAUCCUUAGAAUCACAUGUUUUGAAGUUGAAAGGCGCUUCGGCGUCACUGUAGGAUGGGCCCGCGGUGCAUUAGCUAGUUGGUGGGGUACCGGCCUACCAAGGCAACGAUGCAUAGCCGACCUGAGAGGGUGAUCGGCCACAUUGGGACUGAGACACGGCCCAAACUCCUACGGGAGGCAGCAGUAGGGAAUCUUCCACAAUGGACGAAAGUCUGAUGGAGCAACGCCGCGUGAGUGAUGAAGGUUUUCGGAUCGUAAAACUCUGUUGUAAGGGAAGAACAAGUACGUUAGGAAAUGAACGUACCUUGACGGUACCUUAUUAGAAAGCCACGGCUAACUACGUGCCAGCCGCCGCCGUAA